GGGUCUACCCAUUGGUCAGGCUUAAUUGUCUGCACUGGUGAGAUGGAUCUCUACCUUCUGAGGAACUUUCAUGCCAUUUAUUUGGUGUGAUGGGAAAUCAGGACUGUUACUUUGAAAAAAUUAGAGUGUUUAAAGCAGACUAUCGUCUGAAUAUAUUAGCAUGGAAUAAUGAAAUAGGACGGACUGAUUCUAUUUCGUUGGUUUCUAGGAUCACCGUAAU
rnacentral:rRNA from 1 species